GCAGCAUCCUCUGCUGGGAAUGGCAUUGUAAAAUCAGGAGCUGUUUACCUGCAUGCCCAUCUGUUUGGCCUUUGAAAUACUUAUACCUGAAUGGCUCUGGCAAAUAACAUUGGUGUGGAUGACAUGGAUGCACUCUGAAGAAGGCACUUCGUUGGGCCUGGACUCUUUCCUCUCUUCCUGAGGUGUGCACACAUCUGCAACAUGCACAGG